AUGACCACCAACUCCGGCUACUCCAGAUCCCUCCGCCUAUCCACCCCGAGGAUCCGGAUUCUCCUCUUCCGGAGACCAUCCUCAUCGACUCGUUCGGCUACCUCAGCGACCGCACCAACGCCACCACCGCCAGUGGCCGCAGGAGCAGGACCAAGAAGAAGGGCAAGCGCAUCCUGGUCACCUUCUGGCCGGCUGCCACGCCGCGCGUCUCCUGCUUCACCGUCCAUUGCCCAGAUCUGA
rnacentral:rRNA from 1 species